GGUUUCAACUGAAAAAGUCAUCAAUAACAAGGUUGUAUAACUCAUCAAGAUCUAUAACUUCUAUUUUGGUCAUUUCUUCAUCCAACAAAGUGAUUUGUAAGAUUGUUCACAAAAUGCACAUCUCUUAUAUACACAAAAUGCACAUCUCUUAUAUAAAAUGUGCAUUUUGUGAACAAUCUUACAAAUCACUUUGUUGGAUGAAGAAAUGAUCAAAAUAGAAGUUAUAGAUCUUAAUGAGUUAUACAACCUUGUUAUUGAUGACUUUUUCAAUUGAAAUC
rnacentral:pre_miRNA from 1 species